rnacentral:misc_RNA from 1 species
GAAAUGCGAUAAGUAAUGUGAAUUGCAGAAUUCAGUGAAUCAUCGAAUCUUUGAACGCACAUUGCGCCCGCCAGCACUCUGGCGGGCAUGCCUGUUCGAGCGUCAUUUCAACCCUCAGAACCCCUUGCGGGAUCUGGCGUUGGGGAUUGGCAUCAAGCCAGCCCCGAAAUCUAGUGGCGGUCCCUCCGCGACCUCCCCUGUGCAGUAGCGAUACCUCGCAGCGGGACAGCGGUCUGACCACGCCGUAAAACCCCCAACUUCUCAAGGUUGACCUCGAAUCAGGGAGGAAUACCCGCUGAACUUAAGC